AUUCCAGGCUCUUGUGUGGCUGCCUGCGCGGCUGCUCCCAGCUACUCUGUGCCAGGCUUAGAGGACAAGGAGAAGGGGUAGUCACUUGCCACAGCUGGAAGCUGGAGCGUGUGGUACCACGGCUCGCCUCGCUGUGGUGGGUGCUGGCGACAGAGACGGCAGCUUGGCUGGAGUGAGACCGGGUUUCACCGUGUUGUUCAGUUGCUCUCAAACAUCUGGGCUCAAGCGAUCUGCCUGCCUUGGCCUCCCAAAGUGUUGGGAUUACAGGUAGUUUUGGAAUAUAUCAUUGGGUGAAUAUACCAUGGUGUGAAUCCUGGGCUCUGUCUGCUAUCCAUCUGCAGCCCCACCACCAGGCUUGAAAACAGAAUGUGAUGAGAAGUCAACUCAAAAAUCAGGACUCAUAACAUCAAUCCGUGCCUUUGGGUUCCUAGAAAAGAAGUAACACAGCAUUGAAGAUCGAAGAGGGUCACCAUAAGGAAAAAUUCCCAAAGCGAAAAGCAAGCUUUGUGUACCACCAUUCCAUCCUGUGCAUCCGAGGUAAACUGGGUCUGGCACAAAUUACCUCCUCAAUUAAUAAAUAAAAUCUCUGUAAAUAAAUAGUAACUCUAGGAAUAGUUAUACCAUUUAUUUUUAUGUAUUCAUUCCCAAUGUUGAC